GGCGGCGUACCCAAGUGGUCUAAGGGAACGGUUUGCAAAACCGUCAUUCGCGGGUUCGAAUCCCGCCGCCGCCU
rnacentral:tRNA from 1 species